CCUACGGGUGGCAGCAGUAGGGAAUCUUCGGCAAUGGGGGCAACCCUGACCGAGCAACGCCGCGUGAGUGAAGAAGGUUUUCGGAUCGUAAAACUCUGUUGUUAGAGAAGAACGUUAAGUAGAGUGGAAAAUUAAUCAAGUGACGGUAUCUAACUAGAAAGGGACGGCUAACUACGUACCAGGAGUAGCGGCAAUACGUAGGUCCCAAGAGUGUUCCGGAUUUAUUGGGCGGAAGGUGAGCGCAGGUGGUUUCUGAAGUCUGAUGUAAAAGGCAGUGACUCAACCAUUGUGUGCAUUGGAAACUGGGAGACUUGAGUGCAGGAGAGGAGAGUGGAAUUCCAUGUGUAGCGGUGAAAUGCGUAGAUAUAUGGAGGAACACCGGAGGCGAAAGCGGCUCUCUGGCCUGUAACUGACACUGAGGCUCGAAAGCGUGGGGAGCAAACAGGAUUAGAUACCCCGGUAGUC
rnacentral:rRNA from 1 species